rnacentral:pre_miRNA from 1 species
CAACUACUCCCUCUGUCCCAAAUUUCUUGUCUUAGAUUUGUCAAGAUACGGAUGUAUCUAAUACUAAAAUGUGACUUGAUACAUCCGUAUCUAGACAAAUCUAAGACAAGAAUUUUGGGACGGAGGGAGUACUUU